UACUAUUUCGCCCAUGUUGGUGCGCUAUUUUUAAUUAUAGCCUGAAUAGGGAAUCUGGUGAAAAUCCAGAACUGACGCGCAGCGGUAAGAGAGAACGAAGGUACAAUUUUUCACACUGUUAAUUUUAGAUGUUUAAGGAUAUCGACGAAUAAUGGGAAGUGAGUACUCUAGGUUAACUGCUCUCAAGUCCGAAGACCUGCCAGCAAUAAGUAAUACAU
rnacentral:ncRNA from 2 species